UACGAAGGGGGCGAGCGUUGUUCGGAUUUACUGGGCGUAAAGGGCGCGUAGGCGGUUGUAUAAGAUUGAUGUGAAAUCCCUGGGCUUAACCUAGGAACUGCAUCGAUGACUGUAUGACUAGAGUACUGUAGAGGGUAGUGGAAUUUCCGGUGUAGCGGUGAAAUGCGUAGAGAUCGGAAGGAACACCAGUGGCGAAGGCGGCUACCUGGACAGAUACUGACGCUGAGGCGCGAGAGCGUGGGGGAGCAAACAGG
rnacentral:rRNA from 1 species